GGAAUAAAUGUAGAGUUAUGGAAUUCGCGAUAUCUCGUACACUUUGUGUUGAGUUCUGGGGAUAACUGUCCGAAUUACUUCUUUACAUACUGUUUAGUCGUUAUAAUGUGACCACUGGUCAUUAAUGUUUGUUUUGUUGUUAUGAAAGCUGCAUUUUAGUAUCGCAAGUAACCAAAAGUUCUACAGCUGUCUAUUCUUGACUUCAUUUUGAGAACCGCGAUGCUAGCACCAUCAAAGUUGUACUAAAAAAAUCUUUGGAGGGGGGUAAGGAUCUUCAGUGCACAAGGCCAGCCUGAUCCGUUUGUUCGACUCUAAACGCCAGCCAGAUAAAAUUCAAAUAGGACGUUUUCGACCCAUAGGUAAGGAUUACGUAAGUAAAAAUGACUUUCAAAAAAUAAUUUUUUUUGUUAAUUAAGUAUUUUCGGACACGUACAUGCAUUUUAGAACAUAAUUAUGUAUAUAUUUUAAGUUAAAUUUUUCAGUAAAUUGUUAAUUAUGUUCGUUAUGUAUCCAAAGAACAUCUACUUAUAACAUGAUUGGUAUAACUCUAUGUGUAACAAACUUGUACCAAUAAGAAUUGUGUUACACAACUUUUCACUGAAUUAUUUAAAUAAAACAAAAUGAUGAUUUGCAACCCUCUUUUCUCCUCUACUAAUAUAUUUAUAUAUUUAUGUACUAAUAUAUUUAUCUUGUGAUAAAUUAACUCAAAAAUUGGAGUAAAUUGUUGGGACAUGUAAUAUAUGUUAAAUUUAACACAAAUUUUCUCUGUAUUAUUAAUAUUUUAUUUGUGUGUGUAUUUGUAAUAAUAUUGCAUUUGUAUGUAUUUAUAAAACGAACAUGUAAAGAAACACGAAAUUAUGAAUGGAA